rnacentral:rRNA from 1 species
GCGCAGCAGGCGCGAAACCUCCGCAAUGCGGGAAACCGCGACGGGGGACCCCGAGUGCCGUGGCAACGCCACGGCUUUUCCGGAGUGUAAAAAGCUCCGGGAAUAAGGGCUGGGCAAGGCCGGUGGCAGCCGCCGCGGUAAUACCGGCGACCCGAGUGGUGGCCGCUAUUAUUGGGCCUAAAGCGUCCGUAGCCGGGCCCGUAAGUCCCUGGCGAAAUCCCACGGCUCAACCGUGGGGCUUGCUGGGGAUACUGCGGGUCUUGGGACCGGGAGAGGCGGGGGUACCCCUGGGGUAGGGGUGAAAUCCUAUAAUCCCCAGGGGGACCGCCAGUGGCGAAGGCGCCCCGCUGGAACGGGUCCGACGGUGAGGGACGAAGGCCAGGGGAGCAAACCGGAUUAGAUA